GACGGAGGAUGCAAGCGUUAUCCGGAAUGAUUGGGCGUAAAGCGUCCGCAGGUGGCAGUUCAAGUCUGCUGUCAAAGACCGGGGCUUAACUUCGGAAAGGCAGUGGAAACUGAACAGCUAGAGUAUGGUAGGGGCAGAGGGAAUUCCGGGUGUAGCGGUGGAAUGCGUAGAGAUCCGGAAGAACACCGGUGGCGAAGGCGGUCUGCUGGGCAGUUGCUGACACUGAGGCGCGACAGCGUGGGGAGCAAACAGG
rnacentral:rRNA from 1 species